ACUGUUUCCGAUAAACUCAUAAACGACUGCGCAGUCGUUUAUGAGUUUAUCGGAAACAGACAGACAAACAGACAGGUCUUAGCACUUUGUUUUAUAAAUAAUAUCUAGGUAGG